rnacentral:rRNA from 1 species
AAAAGUCUCUAUCGAGGUUAAAGGUACCCGUACCGCAAACCGACACAGGUGGGUGAGGAGAGUAUCCUAAGGCCAGCGAGAGAACUGUUGUUAAGGAACUCGGCAAAAUGACCCCGUAACUUAGGGAGAAGGGGUGCCACCAUCAGGUGGCCGCAGAGAAUAGGCCCAAGCGACUGUUUACCAAAAACAUAGGUUUCUGC